AAAUGUUGAGCAAUGAGCUGAUAAGAAAGAUUCAAAGAAACCACUGUCUUUUCCUAAAGACUCCAACUGGCAACAUCUUCACCAAAAAAUCUCUCUAUUCUAUUAAACCUUAACUGGAAAUCUGAUUUCUAAAGACUUUGCCAAGACACUGCCUAUGGGAGAAAAACUCUAGGAAGUCAAAUCGAACCAAUGUAAUUUUUUUAAAUUCUCAAUGUUGUGUGUUAUUAUUUUUCUUGCCUCUCGUUCUUGUAUUAAUUGUUGCAAUUUUUCUGUUAUAAAUGUCUUCUUACAUAGGAGAAUGUUAAAUAUCUUCCAGGAAUAAAGCUUGGAGAAAAUGUUGUUGCAGACCCUGAACUUGAAAAUGCAGGUAUUUUUGCAAACAUUAGCGUUUAUCUUGUGAGAGUUGUCCAUUUAAAUUUCAUUUUUUUAUCUGAACUCGCUUGUUAAUGUUGUUUGUUAACAUUUUAUGUUUUUUUUUUAAUCUCCAGUCAGUCUAAAAUUUCCUCCUUAAUUUUCUUCUUCUAUUUCGGUUUUGCAUUUUACUGCUGUUUGAAAUCUUGCUGUUUUUAUCUUGUGGGGUGUCUUAAAUUUCAAUUUCUUGAUCUGGGUUAUUUUCGUUUGAGAACAUUGUGUCUCGAAUUUCAAUUUAUUGAUCAGUGAUUUGUUCUUUACAUUUUUUCUUGUGAGGUUGUCUUAAAUUUCAAUUUUUGGAUCUGGGUUUUGUCCUUUAAUGUUGUUUGAAAACAUUUACUGCUACUGUGUCUAUUAUUUGCUUAAUUUCCUAUCGUUCAACCCAAAUCAUACCCUAAAAAGAACCUAAUUACAAAAUGAUUCCUAAGUAAACCUAAUUAUUGAAGGGCCUUAUAUUAAUUAAUCGUCUAAGACCUCUAAAUUCUC
rnacentral:lncRNA from 1 species